AACGCAUAUUGCGCUCUUUGGUAUUCCGAAGAGCAUGCUUGUUUGAGUAUCAGUAAACACCUCAACCUCCUCUUGUUUUUUCAAAAGGAGGGUGGACUUGAGCUAUCCCAACAACCUUCAUCGGUAGGCGGGCGGCUUGAAAUGCAGGUGCAGCUGGACUUUUAUCUGAGCUAAAAGCAUAUCUAUUUAGUCCUCGUCAAACAGGAUUAUUACUAUUGCUGCAGCUAACAUAAAGGAUAAUUGUCCUCAUUGCUGACUGAUGCAGGAUUUUACGACACUUUAUGUGUUGUUCAACUCGAUCUCAAAUCAAGUAAGACUACCCGCUGAACUUAA
rnacentral:misc_RNA from 1 species